GACGAACGCUGGCGGCGCGCCUAACACAUGCAAGUCGAACGGAGCUUAGAGAGCUUGCUUUUUAAGCUUAGUGGCGAACGGGUGAGUAACGCGUGAGUAACCUGCCCUGGAGUGGGGGACAACAGUUGGAAACGACUGCUAAUACCGCAUAAGCCCACGGUACCGCAUGGCACUGAGGGAAAAGGAUUUAUUCGCUUUAGGAUGGACUCGCGUCCAAUUAGCUAGUUGGUGAGGUAACGGCCCACCAAGGCGACGAUUGGUAGCCGGACUGAGAGGUUGAACGGCCACAUUGGGACUGAGACACGGCCCAGACUCCUACGGGAGGCAGCAGUGGGGGAUAUUGCACAAUGGGGGGAAACCCUGAUGCAGCGGCGCCGCGUGGAGGAAGAAGGUUUUCGGAUUGUAAACUUCUUUUAUUAAGGACGAAGAAAGUGACGGUACUUAAUGAAUAAGCUCCGGCUAACUACGUG
rnacentral:rRNA from 1 species